rnacentral:lncRNA from 10 species
CAAGGGUUAUGGAAAAAUACCAUGGAAGCAAAAGCAGUGAUUAACUCUGUCUGGGAGAGUGAAGGUCGGGGCAGCUUCUCCAAGGAUGUGAUGUCUGAGCUGAGCUGUGUAGAUUAAGCAGGGGUUCUGCUUGUCCACAAAGUGGGAAGAACAUUUUAUGCCCAGUGGCACUUUCAGGGGGGCCUCGGAGGCUCAGUGCAGCUGGAAUACUGGGGGAAUGCAGAGAGCGAGGAAGAUACAGAUAGGCAGAGGCCUUGAAGGCCUGGCCAAGACAUUUUUCCUUUAUCCCGUAGGAGUGGGAGUGGUGUGGUCAGAUUGGUGGUAUCCAAGGUCACUCUGGGGCUCACGUGGAGAAUGGCGAGGAAGCGCUGUGCUGAAGCAGUCAAGUAUCUACUGGAAUAGUUCAUGAGAGUGUGGGUGAGGAUCCCAAAGGCACUUUGGUGCAAAAGGAUUGCAGCCUUGAGGGCCAGCUCAGGCCCUGUCCUCACAGAGCUCCCGGACUGAUAUAAUAAGGCUCUUUUGGCUCAGGAGCACUUGGAGAAGAUGAACUGUCUUCCAAGCUGUCUUGGAAAGCUACAAGUGGUAGGCAGAGGCACCCAGGAAUGUAGAGUCCAGCUCCUCGAAAGAAAGGAAGACCAGGCCGGGCAUGGUGGCUCACACCUGUAAUCCCAGAACUUUGGGAGGCUGAGGCGGGUGGAUCACAAGAUCAGGAGUUCAAGACCAGCCUGGCCAAGAUGGCGAAACCCCGUCUCCACUAAAACUACAAAAAUUAGCUGGGUGCGGUGGCAGGUGCCUGUAAUCCUGACUACUCAGGAGGUUGAGGCAGGAGAAUUGCUUGAACCUGGGUGGCAGAGGUUGCAGUAAGCUGAGAUCACGCCACUGCACACUAGCCUGGGUGACAGAGCAAGACUCUGAAAAAGGAAGGAAGGCAGGCAGGCAGGCAGGCAGGCAGGCCUUCCAACUGGUCAAAGAUUCAGGGGUCUGGCUUGACAGGGAGUGAGUGCCCCAUUGCGGGAGGUGUUCAAGCAGAAGCUAACGUUGGUCAAGUGUGUUGGAGAAAGUGUACAAGGGUCUGCUGGAGGAGGGGUCUGGAGGGAAUGGACUCUUAGAUUUGAUUGGGACUGGAAGAGAUCUUCGUCGUAGUCCCUUUUCAGAGGCAAAAGUUAUUCUUUUCUUUUCUUUUUUUUUUUUUUCUGAGAUGGAGUCUUGUUCUGCCGCCAGGCGGGAGUGCAGUGGUGCGAUCUCAGCUCACUGCAACCUCUGCCCCCUGGGUUCAAGCGAUUCUCCUGCCUUAGCCUCCCAAGUAGCUGGGACUACGGGUGGGCACCACCACACCAGGCUAAUUUUUGUAUUUUUAGUAGAAACAGGGUUUCACCAUGUUGGCCAGGAUGGUCUCGAUCUCCUGACCUCGUGAUCCUCCCACCUCGGCCUCCCAAAGUGCUAGGAUUACAGGCAUAAGCCACCGUGUCUGACCAAAAGUUAUUCUUUAAAGGAGUCAGGAUUAGGUAGGAUUCAAGAGACUUUCACUCUUGUGCAGUGUUGGUGAGAAUGUAAAUGGUGCAGCCACCGUGGAAAACAGUAUGGAGAUUUCUGAAAAAAUUAAAAAUAGAACUGUAUGAUCCAGCCAUCCCAUGAAAAGAGAUCUACUCUCCUGUGUUCAUUACAGCAUUAUUCACUAUAGCCAAGAUAUGAAAACAACCUAAAUGCCCAUCAACAGACGAAUGGGUAAAGAGAAUGUGGUGUACACAUAUGACGAAAUUGUAUUCAGGCUGGGCACGGUGGCUCACACCUGUAAUUCCAGCACUUUGGGAGGCCAAGGCAGGUGGAUUACCUGAGGUCAGGAGUUUGAGACCAGCCUGGCCAACAUGGUGAAACCUCGUCUCUACUGAAAAUACAAAAUUAGUGGGUGUGGUGGCAUGGGCCUGUAAUCCCAGCUACCCGGGAGGCUGAGGCAGGAGAAUUGCUGGAAACUGGGAGGUGGAGGCUGCAGUGAGCCAAGAUUACACCACUGUACUCCAGCCUGGGUGACAGAACGAGACUCUGUCUCAAAAAAAAAAAAAAAGAAAAGAAAAGAAAAGAAAAAGAUAAAAGAAACAGUAUUCAGCCUUAAAAAGAAGGAAAUCUUGUCUUUUGUGACAACAUGGAUGAACCUGGAGGACAUUAUGCUAAGUGAAAUGAGCCAGUCAUGAUGCCAUUUAUAAGAAAUAUCUAAAAUAAUCAAACUCCUAGAAGCAGAGAAUUGGAUGGUGGUUGUCAGGAGCUGAUGGGGGAGGGUACCGGGGAGUUGUUGCUCAGUGGGUAUAAAGUUUCUGUUAUGCAAGAUGAAUAAGUGCUAGACAUCUGCUGUACAACAGAGUGCCUAUGGUUAAUAAUACUUUAUUACACACUUAAGAAUUUAAGAGGGUAGAUCUCAUGUUAAGUGUUCUUACCAUAAAAAAAAACAAAUGAAAACAAACAAACAAACAAAAACCAAAGGGGCACAGGAAACUUUUGGAAGUGAUGGAUAUGUCUAUUACCUUCAUUGUGGUGAUGUUUCAUGGGUGUAUGCAUAUGUCCAAACUCAUCAAAUUAUUCACAUUAACUAUGUGCAGUUUUUUUGUAUAUCACUUAUACCUCAAUAAAGCUGUUUUUGUUUUGUUUUGUUUUGUUUUGUUUUUUGAGACGGAGUCUUGCUUUGUCGCCCAGGCUGGAGUGCAGUGGCCCUACCUGGGCUCACUGCAAGCUCCGCCUCCCAGGUUCACGCCAUUCUCCUGCCUCAGCCUCCCGAGUAGCUGGGACUACAGGCACCUGCCACCACACCAGGCUAAGUUUUUUGUAUUUUUAGUAGGGACAGUUUCACCGUGUUAGCCAGGAUGGUCUUGAUCUCCUGACCUUGUGAUCUGCCCGCCUCGGCCUCCCAAAGUGCUGGGAUUACAGGCGUGAGCCACCGCGCCCGGCCAAUGAAGCUGUUUUUUGAAAAAUAGAGACUUCCAUUCUGAUGCUUGGUUUGCUAUUGACUUGCACCAUGACUCUGGAUAAUUCACAUACAUUCACAUUCCCCACCCCACUCUUUGCUCAAUUCCUGGCUUCCAGUAAGCACUGCAAAGAUUUGUUGAACAAAUGGGUGAAUGAAUGAAUUAGUUGGACUGAGUAUGAAGUUUACAUUCACACUUGUGCAUGUAUGAGUAAUUUCAUUUUUUUUUUCUGGGUAAAGGCCUAUAUCUUGAA